rnacentral:misc_RNA from 1 species
CUACUUUCUAGAAUGCACGUGUCACUGGUUUCUCCCUCAUGUUUCUUUUACACCGUGAAGAAAAAAGAAGAAGAGGACGACGACCAAGUGGUGUUACAAUAGGACACUGAAGCAUUAGCCCUUAAGUAACAGCAAGCCGAGGCAUUGUGAAACAGAGCCCAUCUCUGAUCCCUGUACGUCUUGCUGUAUUGUAGAAACUAGAAACCCAUGGCAUUUUCGUGAAGAAAUAAAGACACCCCAAAAAGAUAUUAAUACUAUAUCUCUCUUCCUUUUCUUUUGCAGACGAGGAGGAGAUUUGUUACACUUCCUUUCUUGGUAUGUUUCGCUUCCAAAUAGCUGAGAUUCUCUGGAAUUUUGGGUUCUUUUGGCUUCAAAUGAUUUUUUACUUGUUUUUCUGUAUGUGUUUUGGUUCACUAGUAUAUAAAAGCGUGCGACAUGGUGAAUAUAUAUCUAAAAAUUUUUGAUUUGGAAUUUGGAAUAGGAAUGCUUUGGAACGAAGAAAGAGCUUAGUACUGUUUCAUGCCUUUUUGGCUUCUGAAUUGCCGCAAUAUUUUAGCUCCUUGGGUUUUCAAGGGGAAGAGAUCCACAAAAUAGGCUGAUUUUCUUAGGUAUUUGCUUUAAUGAACGCAAUUCUAGUCGUUGGGUGGUAGCUUAGUCAUGCUAAUUGUGUUGAUUUCGCGUGCGGUUCACGUCGUGGCUUUGAUUCUUUAUUAUUAUUAUUAUUGUGGAUCUUCAUAGGACAUGGGAUAUGGAUAUGAAAAUAACAAUAAAUCAUUUCCAUAUGCAAUUUGAAUUGUAUUUGCGUUUAGGCUAAACUGGAUUAUGGUAUAGACCGCCAUGUUUCACCGUGGGGGCAAUUCCAAUCAGGAUCAGGGGGAUGAUUCACUGCAACAAGAGUCUAAGGUCAAUGAGCUUAGGAAUGCCAUUGGACCCAUAACAGGACGCAGUUUGCAAUGUUGCACUGAUGCAUGUUUAAGAAGAUAUCUGGAAGCUCGGAGCUGGAAUGUAGACAAAGCAAAGAAAAUGCUGGAAGAGACUCUUAAAUGGAGAUCUACUUAUAAGCCUGAAGAGAUUCGCUGGCAUGAGGUUGCUAUUGAAGGUGAGACUGGUAAAGUAUACAGAGCAAAUUUUCAUGACAGACGAGGAAGGACUGUACUUAUACUGAGGCCAGGA